UCUCCGUAGGUGAACCUGCGGAGGGAUCAUUAAUGAGAACUUGCCCUAGCGGGUAGAUCUCCCACCCUUUGUGAACACAACUUGUUGCUUCGGGGGCGACCCUGCCGUUUCGACGGCGAGCGCCCCCGGAGGCCUUCAAACACUGCAUCUUUGCGUCGGAGUUUAAGUAAAUUAAACAAAACUUUCAACAACGGAUCUCUUGGUUCUGGCAUCGAUGAAGAACGCAGC
rnacentral:misc_RNA from 1 species